UCAGACAUGGUGUAGUGGGAACACAGCCUCUAUUCUUCACGAUAAAAAAUGACAUAAGAGGUAGCCAGGGUUUGAAUCCCUGUGUCUGAA